CUGAAGGAAAUUUCCUUUCGAAUGAAAAGUAUGUCCAGUACUGCCAUGAUGGAGAAUGGCAUUGGCUGUGUACUGGUGGUGAAAGCUGGACGAGAGUGGAGGCCAAUGUUGUGUGUAGACAACUGGGACUCAGCGACCAAGGAGCUAACAUAGGAGGUGCCAUGGUAUAACGCUAACAGCAGCUGAUCAAUCACUAGCCUACUUUAUGUUUGGUGGCAGAUGUACUGGAGAGGAAAGUAACAUAGGAGAGUGCAAUAAUUCAUACCAGUACAUGUAGUAAGAGUGCAGGAUGGGUAAGAUGUCAACCAGGUAAGAGCAUUUAUUUAACUUUUGCAAAUCAAAGUUAAUACUGCAUGAGGUAAUUAUACAGCCAACUGUAACGGUGGAGACAUAAGACUGGUGGGUGGUAUCACUAAUAGAGAGGGACGAGUGGACGUCUGUAUGCAGGGAUAUUGGGCAUCCAUCUGUUACAAUGAAGUGCUGACAGGCACUGUAUGCAAAAUGUUAGGAUUUCCAAUCGAAGGAGCAAUGGCAAAUAGUACUAACUCUUCUAUUGAUCCAAAAGUCGACUGUACAGUGACAGAUGAUGGCACCACCCUGAACUGUGGAGACACUAUACAGCCGCACAUAUGUGAUAUGGCAAGCUUAGUCAUCACAUGCCAAACUCACAACUAUGCUUUACGGAAUAAAACCACUGGAAGUAAUUCAACCAGUGCACUAGGAGCAGUGAUUGGGACUCUUGUAUUACUGGAAAUAGGGACAGUUAUUGCGUGGGUGGCUUGUACUGUCACAAGGAAAAGGCACUCAAGUCCACCAAAACAAAGCUCUAUUAAAAGUAAAUGAGAGCUACACUGACACAGCUCUAAUAGAACCAAGCUACAGUUCACUAGGUCCUAACUACAAUACUGUGACCACAAGCGAUGAAGGAAUUGGUGACUAUGAUGUCAUUGAUCAUAACAAACAGAAACCGAAACCAUCCAACCCACCACCAGUGAAGGUUGAGGCCAGUAAAAGUGAGGAUGAGUUCUACAAUACAGAGGAGCAUAUGUACGCAGCUGUCAAUAAGGAGAAAAAGACUAAUGCUGAAGGAGAAUAAACCACAAUCCACAAAAGUUGUUGAAGUUAUUCCACAUUGUUCAAAUCCAAAUUG